rnacentral:rRNA from 1 species
AGAGUUUGAUCCUGGCUCAGGAUGAACGCUGGCGGCGUGCUUAAUACAUGCAAGUCGAACGAAGUCAGUAGCAAUAUUGGCUGAGUGGCGAACGGGUGAGUAACGCGUUGGUGACCUGCCCCGAAGAGAGGGAUAACAGUUCGAAAGGAUUGCUAAUACCCCAUGUGGUCAUUUGGAUUAGAUGCCUUAUGACUAAACGGAUUUAUUCGCUUCGGGAGGGGCCUGCGUCCCAUCAGCUAGUUGGUAGGGUAAUGGCCUACCAAGGCGAUGACGGGUAGGGGACCUGAGAGGGUGGCCCCCCACAAUGGAACUGAAACACGGUCCAUACACCUACGGGUGGCAGCAGUAGGGAAUAUUGGUUAAUCUGCGAAAGCGGGAACCAGCAACGCCGCGUGCACGAUGACGGCCUUCGGGUUGUAAAGUGCUUUUGAAAGGAUGAGGAAGGACAGACUCAGAAUA